GUCUUGCUGCGGCUCGCGUCGAAGGCAACUUAUCCCAGCGACCUUAAUUGUCUCGAAGGGAGCUGUCCCUGUCUUGGCCCGUGGGCUCGGACAUUACGGCGCCCACCUGGUUGUCCAGGUCGAGGGGAUUAAACCGCCCUUCACGGUUCUCGCGGCGCCGCC
rfam:Phenylobacterium zucineum isolate lbmp16 W1S__single__contig_371, whole genome shotgun sequence.